ensembl:lncRNA
UCUUUUGCGUUAUAAUGUAGAACAAAAACAAUCUCCAAAAUUGCAGUGUACAUAUGUUGCUUCACCUUUAUUCUGAAAGUAUCUAUUUCCGGUAAAUGUGUCUGUAGUUUGAUGCAGCUUCACACAGAGAUCACAGUGGUGAGAUUGCAGUUUGAAUUGCGCAUGACAGAAAUAACAGACUGAUGAGGUCGCUGUGAGAACAGAGACUGCCUGGUUUAAAGGAAGUACUGCAGUAAAAAGUACAAUACAAUACAGACCUCUGAGAUGUACUACAGUAAAAAGUACAAUACAGACCUCUGAGAUGUACUACAGUAAAAAAAUAGCAGAACAUGUAAGUACUCAAGUAAAGCGCCGUACAUUUGUUUAACUUGUGACCAAAACUACGUGAAUAACAUGACAAAUAUUUAAAAACUUGCACAUCAGAAGUCAGAAGAAACAUUCUGCCGCAGGUUAUUUUGUGAUUUUUAAUAAAUCAACUUGAUAAUAAACAACAAUCAGUAACAUAAUACAGGCAUCAGUCUGAUAUUUUUCAUUCGCACAUUUAACUAUGUAUUCUUCUUUUAAGCCAGAAAUACAACAAUAUUAUUAGAGUGAUUUUGAGUUGUAUAACUAUAUUCAUACUUCGACCAUGAAUUGUUUGGUAAAAUGUCAGUCGAGCUUCAAGAUUCCCCAGUUCCAGGUUCACUUCGUUUGAACUGUAACGAAAAAAAAGAAAAGACUUAUAUAGACAAACAGAUCUAGUUAAAUCAUCUCGGUUAAAAUAACAUACAGUGGUGAACAUCCAAGAAGAAGCCUAGAUCAGAGUAGUUUAAGACCACUUCUGAGUAGUUUAGAACUAGAUCCAAGUAGUUUAAGACCACAUCCGAGUAGUUUAGAACUAAAUCCAAGUAGUUUAAGACCACAUCUGAGUAGUUUAGAACUAGAUCCAAGUAGUUUAAGACCACAUCCAAGUAGUUUAGAACUAAAUCUGAGUAUUUUAAGACCACAUCUGAGUAGUUUAAAACUAAAUCUGAGUAGUUUAAGACCACAUCUGAGUAGUUUAGAACUAGAUCCAAGUAGUUUAAGACCACAUCCAAGUAGUUUAGAACUAAAUCUGAGUAUUUUAAGACCACAUCUGAGUAGUUUAAAACUAAAUCUGAGUAGUUUAAGACCACAUCUGAGUAGUUUAGAACUAGACCCAAUUAGUUUAAGACCACAUCUGAGUAGUUUAGAACUAAAUCUGAGUAUUUUAAGACCACAUCUGAGUAGUUUAAAACUAAAUCUGAGUAGUUUAAGACCACAUCUGAGUAGUUUAGAACUAG